AAUCACCUCUAUGUCCAUAAGUACAUAUAUACAACAAUCACUUCACUCUAAAAGUCUGUUGGGAAGCAAUAGUGCAAGUGAUCGUAUCUUGAUUGACAAUUCAACGUCAAGUUUCUAAAAGUAAAAUGUCUGCCUUUGACAACGAACGUGAACAAAACCCUCCAGAAGACGAACAGUACGAUGAACAAGACAACAGUGGAGACUCCAAUGAAGCACAUUCAAGAUCUCGUCGGGCUCUUAUCGACACACCCACAGUUGAGUUUGAUCAAUAAUUUAUUUUGAAAAAUUCAAUCGUAUAUUCUCUCAUUAUUUAACGCAUCGAUAAAAACUAAACAACAAUCAGUCCGGGGUUACGAGAGGAUGUAAUAAGUAUUCAGAAAUGGUGACGCAACUUUAUGGGGAGGAAGAGCAUUUUGGGUUGCCGACUUUACAAAAAAAUUAAACAAAUUCAAACUCAAGUUCAAGUAUGAUGAACAAACACCAUAGGAAUUCGAUGUUUAAAGACCACGCCUAAAACUAAUCUUUUUAUUUCACACCAAACUGAUAAACGAUAAUUAAGUAUAUAAGAUGAAACACCUGCCGACAAUCCAUAUCAUUUCGAGCGCGUUACUUCCAACGACCACAUUACAUAACCUUCAAAACUACUCAAACAUGGCUGAGAAUAAUCAAACUGAUGGUUCACUUAAUGAAAAUAAUUCGCAAACAGAAAGUACAUCUGAAGACCAAAAUGAAAGUGAUGAAACCAAUGAAUUAAAUGAAGAUGAAAAUAGUCAGGAUAGUACCAAAGAAGAAACAUGUCCACAAAAUCAAGAUGAAGAAAAAAUGGUUAAAAGAAGAACACGCAGAGCGAUUAUAGACGCGCCGGAAAUGAUAUUUGAUUGAUUUUUGAAUUUUAUAUAUUUCAUAAUCUAACAGCGCUGAUACUUUUACAUUUAUAAAACAAGAAUUAACGAGAAUAUACGUAAGUUAUUACUUUUGUAAAGUAAAAUCAUA